rnacentral:lncRNA from 1 species
GUGAAGCCAGAACGUCAGAGCAAGGGAACUGCCAGACAAAGCAAAGAAAAUGAAGAUUUCUGUCUUGGGAAUUGAACCUUCAAUGUCUUAUUGUAUAAGGCCUGUGUGCACAGUCUGAGGAUCUGAUGAAAGCCAAACGACCAAAAUCCAGGAAGAGUGCUCAGUUCGUGGAUUUUCUCAUUUGCUUUCGUAGAUAUGAGAGAUUGUGUUGCUCAGGUGUUCAAGCUGGCACUGAGUGUAACCCCCAUGGUGGCAAGCUCCCCUGCUCCUUUCAGGUGUUUUGCUGGUGGGAUCAUCCAUGUUGCAGGAGACUCUCUGAGCCCCAGCAAGGCAACUACCUCUAAUGUAACCAUAAUGAGGGAGAUACACUGAACGCUAGACCGUGGCUUUGCGUAGCAAUUUCAGAAGCCUGAGAGACCAGAUUUCAAAAGGGCUGGCUUGCGGUCCCGAGUUCCUCUG